rnacentral:rRNA from 1 species
AAAAAAAAGAGUUUGAUCAUGGCUCAGAAUGAACGCUGGCGGCGUGCUUAACACAUGCAAGUCGUGCGCGAAGGUGGCUUCGGCCACCGGAGAGCGGCGAACGGGUGAGUAACACGUGGGUAAUCUGCCUGGGAGCGGGGGAUAACCUGGGGAAACUCGGGCUAAUACCGCAUACGUUGAUUGGCAUGCGUGCUGAUCAAGAAAGCUGGCCUCUACUUGUAAGCUAGCGCUCCUAGAGGAGCCCGCGUCUGAUUAGCUAGUUGGUGAGGUAAUGGCUCACCAAGGCGUCGACGGGUAGCCGGCCUGAGAGGGUGACCGGCCACACUGGGACUGAGACACGGCCCAGACUCCUACGGGAGGCAGCAGUGGGGAAUAUUGCACAAUGGGCGGAAGGCCUGAUGCAGCAACGCCGCGUGAGGGAUGACGGCCUCGGUUGUAA